GUGCCAGCAGCCGCGGUAACUACGGAGGGUCGCAAGCGUUAACUCGGAAUUACUGGGCGUAAAGCGCACGCGAGGCGGUCUGUCAAGUCGGAUGUGAAAUCCCCGGGCUCAACCUGGGAACUGCAUUCGAAACUGGCAGGCUAGAGUCUCGUAGAGGGAGGUAGAAUUCCAGGUGUAGCGGUGAAAUGCGUAGAGAUCUGGAGGAAUACCGGUGGCGAAGGCGGCCUCCUGGACGAAGACUGACGCUCAGGUGCGAAAGCGUGGGGAGCAAACAGGAUUAGAUACCCUGGUAGUCCACGCCGUAAACGAUGUCGACUUGGAGGCUGUGCCCUUGAGGCGUGGCUUCCGGAGCUAACGCGUUAAGUCGACCGCCUGGGAGUACGGCGCAAGGUUAAACUCAAAUGAAUUGACGGGGCCCGCACAAGCGGUGGAGCAUGUGGUUAAUUCGAUGCAACGCGAAGAACCUUACCUGGUCUUGACAUCCAGAGAAUCCUGCAGAGA
rnacentral:rRNA from 1 species